CAAAAUAAAUCACACAGUCUUUAAAAUUUGCUUUACCAAGUACGUCAAAUCUAGUGGAUCACCCACAUCGCCUGGUAGAUGGCAUCCUGACAGAAGCAGGAAGUCACGUGUCUUCAUUGUGUCAGUGGUACGCCGUGAAUUAAGCCGCAGUCUGUGCAGUAUCCUCCUGCGCAUUCAUGAUGUCCUAGUACCGUUGACAUCUGCGCGAUUUAUCUUUCUUCAGCCGGGACAAAUUGAAUUUACUCGCCACAGGAAGGGCUCGUCUGUCAUCCUCCAGACGACGACCGUGUCCGUUUCCUGCUGUCCUGAUUGCGCGUAUGCUCGCACUAUAAAAACAAAACCUGUCUGACGUGACACGGACAAGCGGGUGUCACGUGCGUGUACCGGACAACAGGUGUUUUGAUUCGCGACGAACGUAUGCUUACAGGUAUAUGCAUAUUGUACAUACAGAUUCAUUGCUUAAGUAUUUAAUUAUUGAUUGCGUAUUAGUGAAGGCGUUUUACCGAUGGCGUAUUACUGAUGACGCAUUAGUGAUGGUGUAUGCAAUUAGUGCAUUUGGGGACGCCAUUUUGUAAACAUUCUGUAAGCACAUUGCUUACAGUGCUUCCCAUAAGGGUUUUGUAGAUUAACAUGAAAGUGUAGUACUGUUUAAACAGUGACAGUAUUUUUGAACAUAACUGUGCAAAGGUGAUAGGUUAAGUGACAACCCACUGUACAAAAAUGAUAGGUUAAGGGACAACCCACUGUGACAACCCACUAUGCAAAACUUGAUAGGUUAAGUGACAAGUCUUUAACUAUGAGAGUACUAUUAGCACUGUUUACAGUCCAUAAAGCUACAUAAAAAAAUCAAUGCAAUUCAUACAAGACUAUAUGUAUAGACUUCUCUUCAGUCUCUCCAGUUAAAAAUAAUCGAAUGCGGCACGCGCCGUCCCCUGCGCGCCAGCCAAUAUGCGAGGUACGCACUGCGGACAGUAGUGGUGUAUGAAACAACAACGUCGAUGUUGGUGAAUGCCAGUUACCUUCAGGAGACCAGAAAGUCGACACACGAUCCGUCCACGUAUACGCGAUCAUGGUACCCUGGUAAUGUUCGUGUCUACUCGUCUCUGUCCGUACGACAAGCAAACAUAAUUUACGAGGUCCGCGACCUCUCACGUUCGCAGCCCCGAUGUUGGGGAAUGACGAGCCGAAGCGAGGAAUGCGGCCGUGAAAUGGAGGAGGAUUAAGCGUUCUUGGAUAACAGAAGAUCAUAACGCAGACUGGCUUUCUUUGUGGCCAGGGAUAAUUGAGGAUCUCUGGGAGUCAAGGAAAUUGAUAAGCAAAAAUUCUUUUAGUUCAAAUUAUAUAUUUUCACAUAAUCUAAAAUGUGUCGUACAAACUACAUAGUAUGCUUAUGGUCAUAUGAUGAUAGUGGAUUAUGCAUACUGUAAUUGUUAUUAUAAAUGUAUGAAAAAUUAUUUUUAUGAACGGUUCAAAUUCUUGUCACAUAACUUAAAAUGUCAUGCAAACUACAUACUAUACUUAUGAUCAUAUGAUAGUAGAUUAUGCAUACUAUAAUUGUGAUUAUAAAUGUAUGACAAAUUAUUUUCAUGAACUGUAUGUCUCAGCCUAUGAGACAGAUAAUGACAUAACCUAUAAUUUCCGUCAUUUCUCUUCGUCUUUUAUUUUUUGUUUAAACUGUUUUUUUAAGUUACAUAAUUUUACAGUGACGAUUGCCUUCAAAGCACAAAGUCCUUCAGGACAUGGUUCCCUAAUACCACUGACAUCCAAGCGAUUUGUCUUGCUUCCCCACCAGGCAAUCGCGUUUUACGACAGGGUUUUAUGUGCCUCCGACGAAUGGCGAGGCCCGUUUCCUGUUAACGCUGAAAGCACCGGAAAGGCAGGUCCUGGUGGACCUCGAUGCUUCCAUGCUUCCCUGAUGCUACAAUAUUCCGAAUUGUCAGAAAAAAAGUGCUCGGAAUGUCGGUCGAUUUACCCCUCCUCAUUUGUAUAAUCCACUUAUUUUUUCGGUGAUGAGGAACGUGAAACAUUGUGGCGGAUAUCGUUACAUUAUUUUAAGCUACUUCCUCUUGUAAAUUGUUACAAAGACAACUGUAUAAAUAUUAAUAGUGGAGAGAUAUGAAUGUUUAUUGUAAUGUCCGAGGGGAUGUGUAUUGAUUGGCCUAAGUCUGUGAUUGGCACGAGUGCCUAUUGGAUUUUAUGGUGAUUAUGAACAGCGGUGUGUACAUCUAGAGAGAAGUAUGUCUAAGACCAAGCCUAAGCUAGGACGCAAGAUUAAAUAUUCAUCAUAUACUUCAAUCCUGAAUUGUAAAAGGGUGUCUUUCUGAAACGGUGGAAGUGGAUAUCCUAUUGAACGGCUCCCCCAAGCCGAAGCCACAAAGCCAGCUAGAAUUAACAGCGCACAGUCGUAAAGGGGAAGCAAAUGCCGAUUGACCUCCUCAUCGUCCUACAAGCUGGAUAGAGUUUCUAUGAAUGUUCCGUCGCCGCCCACAACCCUUUCUCGUUUCUUCGCAUUUUGUCUCCUACGAUUUCCGCGGAAUGCGUGGAACGAUCGAGCAUUCAUAAACACCCGUGCGUUCAACUCGAAUCCUCUUGGAGACAAGUGGUCGGGAAAUGGAUUAAAUCGAGGGAGGAAGAGAAGACCACGAAAGCUUGAGAUUCUCGAACGUUAUAACUUCCUGCUCCCUGUCACCGCAUUCCUUUUAUGCGGAGUCACUCGAGCGAAACGACGGAAUUAGAAUUCAUUUGUAUCGUCGUCAUUCUGUCUAAAUAAACCUUUCUCUUGCUUUCGUGCGAUUAAGGACGACGGUUAUGUAUUAUUUAUGAUCUGCUUUUGUGGUUUCAGGAUAUGCUUUGGACAUACUUGGUACAUACGAUAGCUGGUUUUAUCGAUUCAUCUAUUACCAAGGGUUUAUUUGGAUUUGUUAAGAUGCUUUGGAGAUAUUAUCAGCUAAUCGAUAGCAUGAAGCACUUUAGGGAUGUGAGAUAUGAAGUACGAGGUAUUCCUUCAAAAGGUAUUUUCACAUAGGACAGAAUGGGUUACCAAGACACUGUAAUGUGGGGUUGUAUCAGGUGCUCAGCUAAAAAAAUUCAACUUCUACAUGCAGAUCAACUUGUGAAUGCAGGAAUAUUUCUUAGGACUGAACCUUGCAACCUAACAAACUAGACCCUUUACGACUUCUGCUAUUCGAUCGUAAUUAUAAAAAUUUCUUCCUUUUAUUCUAUCAGAUAUUUAUAUUAUAUCGAUUCCCCGCAGCAAAAUAUGAACCUGUCUCAAGGGCUAUACCGAAGGGUAGGCGUCGAACGUGACGGAUCGAUCGUGACAAGCGACCCCCGACAUGCUACCCUGUUCCAGCACCCCAAGAUUCUUUUGUUCUCCGCAAAUUGUCGUAGGUUAUGAUUUUCCUUGGCCGUGAUCCGAACAACAGAUUUCUCGGUCUCAUAUUACCCUGUCACAUGGAGGAGUUGCUCCAUUGUCCUCAGCUUUCUUGGGUCGUUCAAGACACCGCAUCUCCGCGUAUCCAUGCAAAGCAUUCUUCUUGCAUCGUCGUUCUAUCCGCACGGAACAGAGCGAUCCGGUGUUCCCGACGUACACAAAAUGGCCGGGUCAGGUAAAAAUUCAGUUGGACCACUUCUCGACUCCUUUGGAAUGUUAACUCCACCGCGAUCAUUCACUCCUUGCACCCGGCUUCUGCAAAUUACUCUUCGCUCAUGAAAUCCUGAUACUUAAUGGUACUCAACUGUCACCGAUCAUCGCUGAUUGAUUUAUGCCCUUGACCCGGAGGUUUAUAGAUAGAAGGGUCUUAUGCAAUGGGAAGCUACUGGUGUGGCAACGUUAUCUUUGCAAUUGGGUAAGCGGUGUUUUGAAACCCUAUUCUUGCUUUUGGAUCCGUAGAUUUCCGAGUAGAGAAAAUAAGUGGUGCUCGAUAUCUGUGAAUGUGGGACUUGUGCUUACCCUAGGGCCUAGGCUAAUCUGUAGUACCCCAGGUCCUAGGACUUUGAUUGUCCUGGCUUCUUAUGUCCUAGAGCUCUUUUGACUUUCUCCAACUUCUCAUGUUUUUUAAAAAUGACUACUUUUCAAAGUCUAAUGAAUUUCAUUGUGUUACUAUUUCAGAUUGUAGCCAGCAUACUCUCGCAUUUCUCGAGUACCCAAACCAUUCCAUUUCUGAAGGACGCAGUCAGUCAUAUCACAUCGAAUAUCGAGAAAAAAAAAACUGGACCAACUUUUUUCGAUACCAGGAGGUCAUAGAACGUCCGUGGUCAGCCCGUCAACGGCAGGUGGGCCGUUCGUGGGGUUUCCAAUCAAUCGGUACCUUCCGGUGUUAUCAGAGUAACAUAAGUCCGGCGGGAAAACCGAACUUUCCUAUCGUUCGCAAGAAAAACGUGCGUGUCCCCCGAUGCGUCGCUCCUGAUAAACGGCGACGCGACCAAGACUUUUACGAGCCCCGAAAGAAAUCGUGGUAAGAAAAGAAGAUUCAUGGGGUGUCGGUGGUUCGAGACAACCCCCGUCCUUCAUUGCUUUCACAUAUGAGAACGUCUGGACGAUUGGAAUCGAAGGAAAGGGGUUUUAGUCGCUCAAGUGCUUCGAGUCACACAUCGUGACAGGGAUGCUAUGAGGGUUCAGGAGGUGUCCUAAUAUUCGUGGGGUCGUUCACCCCAAAAACAUUUCGAACGGGAGUGGUGGACGUCAAUUGAUUUUUUCUGGAUGAUUGAAUUUUAGCGGCGGUUUUGGUAUUCGUUGUAUUGCACUCGGUAUAAAUUAGUGGCUGGAUUCUCAUUUGUGUAAUUAGGGGGUUCAGGGGAGACUGUUUAAUUCCCUCACAGUUUAUUUCUCGGAGAAGAAAAUAUUGAACUUUAGCGUUUCAUAUUGAACUUUAACACCUUAAGUAGGUGCAUAUGUUACAUAUGAAAGUUUAGUAUAAGGUAUUCUUUUAGAUUCAAACUGAGUUUGUAUACAUUUAUACAUAUUUUGUUUAUUUUUGAAAUUCAUGUUAAACAUAUUCAGAGAGGUUGAAGACCGUUUGACAAUAGUGAGGUUAUGUCUAAGUUAAUCUGAUUUUUUAUAAAGCAAGAAAAUACAUAGCAGAGAAAUAGCAAAUUACUGAUUCACCAAUUUAAGUGUAGCAUCUAGUUAAAUAUAGUUAAACUAUAUUUGCAAUGUACUUAUUAUCAUUGUUGUAUAACAAAAAAAUUUACGGUUCUAAUUAUCAAAACCCGUCAGGCUUACUUUUCCCUUUCGUUAAGGUCCGAUCAAUAUCUGUUCGAACCUGCGCACUUGCAGCGACUCUCGCUUUCACCCUUCGAUUUCCAAGCCUUUCAGUCUGGUAGCUCCUUCGCACUAGACGCCCAUUAGUCUGACAGCUUGAAACCGACAAAAGAACCGAAAUGUAUGAUUCAAACCAAAUAAGCAGACGUAUAAAAAUGCUUCUUGCAAACAAACACCCCUCAUACGUUGCAAAAAUCUGAAGUAUCAUAUGUAUAAAAUAUCUGAAAAACCAAAUAUAAAAUAUCUGAAAUAACCAAAUAUCUUAAAGGAUGAAACUGACAAAGAAUAUCAGACCAUUUCACACAGUCAUAGAGUGACGUUAGAGUAACAUGGCUGCCAUAAAAAUUAAUCCAUCCUUGCAACGCAAUUAUCCAUAAGUCAUGCAAUGUCUGAUAGUCUACAUACAUACACCUAAUACAAACUUGAUAAACAGUAUGAAACUCAAAGUCCACAAUCGCCUGUCAAAACUGUCCAUUAACGCAUCAGAUCGAUGGCAUCAUAACUGGCUGAAGCACAAGGAGAGAAUGAAGCCUAAGGAGGUCUCAGCAUCCAGCUAAGUCGUUCUAACGGCCAGCCAUCCGAGCCCUACAUCCCGGAGUCCCAUUCAAAUGCGCCGAGUUAAAGGGUCGAGUUCCGAUCGUCCCGAUAAUUGGAAGGGCUAUCGGCAGUCUAUUGGUUUGAUCCCUCGUUCCCAGGCUACCAGAAGCACGCCGGUGGUCGUACGAAAUUCAUCUGUGUCCCACCGUGUACAUACACACCUCUCCGUCAGUGUGGCGCUCUUCAAGGUUCGUUGGACGCGCUUUCGAAAGCGUGAUCGGACAGGUCGGAAGUGGACCUGGAUUGGUACGUAUGUACUCGUAGGCGGACUACCCCGUGACAGGAAUAAUUUAAUCCGGUGCCCGAGGGAAAGGGUUGAAUAAAAUAUAUUCACAUAUUCGUAGCAGGCUGGUAUGCGACACCAGGAGGCUCAACGGUUGGACAAAGCCCUUUGGGGCGUUAUGGUGCUCUGGUGACUCGUCCUGUUCUUCGGAAACUGUCGUUUCCACUUCGGACCACAGGAAGGGAAACGGGUGGAGAAUUAAUGGGUGGAGAGGAUUCGGGUUACUGGUGUGGGAGAGAAAGGGUUCGUCUCGUCGGGAUUCCACCCACGCUUUUUUCACAGGAUAGCAUCCUCGCGAGGAACCCCCUCGACUCGCGGAGCUGCUUAGCGUUCCAGGAUUUCGAUUACUUGGACUUGAUUAGCGUCAAACUAUCACCAUCUUCUCUCAUACCAAAAAUUUAGCAUUUGAGAGAUUUGAGAGAUGUUUAAACAAAAAUGAGACAGUGUUGCAAAGUGAGACAGUGUUAUACAGUGAGACAGUGUUUUAAAAUGACAUAGUGCUUCACAUAAGUGCAUACAUGCUGUGUUAUGUCAUUUAUGACGUCCUACCCUGAGCUAUCAAGGUACACACAGUCUGCCAUUCACAUUUGUUCAAGAUGUGUCAUCCAUCAAGACAGUGGACUAUGAAAACAGUCCUAUGAAAGUUAGCCUAACCCCAUGCUGCCCCAAAUGAAAGGGUUCCGUCUUCACCUUCCGCCUGCAAACCUCCUACGUCCUGAUGGCUGCCUGAACAUUGUCACCUGCGGUGUAAUUAAUAUUCAUGUAUACCCUCAUGAAUAUGAUCCUACACGACACGUGCACAAUUGUAAUCAGAUUAUUCCAGAGCCCCCAUGCCAAACAUCCUCCGGAGGAUUUGAACUCGUUUCAUCCUACACAGAUUCGGUGGAUUGUGCAGGUAUCAGGGUGUCAUGAAAGUCCCAACCGAUUAUUGGAUGACACACAAAAGUGUUAGGGCAACAUAAAUCCAAGCUUCUUGCGCGUGAAAGGGGAUUAAGGAUGUAACAACGAACGAGACAAUUCUGGACAAUACAAGAGUAAACAAGGGGAUCAGGACAGGAUGAACGGCGAGGAGGAUGGACGGACGAAUUGGGGUGCGACAAACUAGGGGUGGCACGAAUUGCGGUUCAUUCUCCGCCAGGAGGCGGUUCGGAGGGUUAAUGGAUUGUGUCAUCGGGGUUCGGAUAGGGGAGGUUUCAUACCGUUUGCCGAGUCUUAAUGUAGGAUUUAUGUAUCGAUUUUAGAGUUGUCUUAUUUCUGACGUCUGUAGAUGUUAAUAAAAUUAAUUUUUGA